UAUGUAUCCUCCUGCUGUUGGUAGUUCAUUUGUAUUUAAGCUUGGGGACCAGAAUGGACGUAUGCAUAGAUUUACUUGUGGGUCUGAGAGUUUAGAUGAGUUGAUGUCUUCUGUAAUGCAAAGAUUAGGCAUUGGUGGUGAAAAGAGCACAGUUCAACUUUUGUAUGAGGAUGAUGAAGGUGACAAGGUAC